rnacentral:rRNA from 1 species
AUACGGAGGGAGCGAGCGUUAAUCGGAAUUACUGGGCGUAAAGCGCUCGUAGGCGGCUUGUUAAGUCGGAUGUGAAAGCCCCGGGCUCAACCUGGGAACUGCAUUCGAUACUGGCAGGCUAGAGUAUAGUAGAGGCAAGUGGAAUUCCGGGUGUAGCGGUGAAAUGCGUAGAUAUCCGGAGGAACAUCAGUGGCGAAGGCGACUUGCUGGACUAAUACUGACGCUGAGGAGCGAUAGCGUGGGGAGCAAACGGGAUUAGAAACCCGUGUAGUCC